AUACGAAGGGACCAAGCGUUGUUCGGAAUCACUGGGCUUAAAGCGUACGUAGGCGGGUGCGCAGGCAUCUUGUGAAAUCCCUCGGCUCAACCGAGGAACUGCAGGGUGAACCGCGUACCUUGAGACAGGUAGGGGUCGUCGGAACGCUAGGUGGAGUGGUGAAAUGCGUUGAUAUCUAGCGGAACGCCGAAGGAGAAAUCAGGCGACUGGGCCUGUUCUGACGCUCAUGUACGAAAGCGUGGGGAGCGAACGGGAUUAGAAACCCCUGUAGUCC
rnacentral:rRNA from 1 species